GUGGUGAGGGAGGAUGCAGGCUGCUGAAGUCUCAGUACUGCUCCUAGACACAGGUGAAGGGACCCACAGGCUGUUUCCGUUGCUCUCCGGGGAUCUGCGGUUUAUACAAAGGUGCUCUGAACAUGCAGUUUUAACCUCUACUGAUUCAAGGACUCCGUCAUCAUCCCAUUUUCCAGGAACCGUGGGAAGGCUUAGAAUGGAUUGAAGCACUCUUCCUCUUCCAGGACUUGGGGUAAGUUUCUUUGCA